UACGUAGGGGGCGAGCGUUGUCCGGAUUUAUUGGGCGUAAAGAGCUCGUAGGCGGUUUGGCAAGUCGGGUGUGAAAACUCCGGCUCAACUCGGAGACGCCACUCGAUACUGCCAUGACUCGAGUCCGGUAGGGGAGUGCGGAAUUCCUGGUGUAGCGGUGAAAUGCGCAGAUAUCAGGAGGAACACCGGUGGCGAAGGCAGCUCUCUGGGACGGUACUGACGCUGAGGCGCGAAAGCGUGGGGAGCAAACAGG
rnacentral:rRNA from 1 species